GGGAGUAUUUUAGAGUUAUGUUCUAGUAUGUUUGGUCCCUCAUUUGAGUCCACCUGUGUAGGUUCGGACCCGAGGAACCGAGGACCCCAGCAGUGAGGUCAGCUGCUUCGGUGUUGUCAGAGUCAGCCAGAGGUGAGUGGAACUAAACUUAAUCUUUUAAAUUAAAUGUUUUAUCAUGUUUCAUGCAUCAUGAUCAUGCAAUAGGAUGAUUGCAUUAGCUUCACGAAUAUGCCGCAUUGCAUCUAUUGUUGUUGAUGUGGGUGAAUGUUGGAUGACCCAAUUAGUCCAUGACAGGAAGACCAGGACCCCAUUUUACGGCCUGGCACGGAAAUGAAAGACCAGGACCCCAUUCUACGGCCUGGCACGAUUGUGGAC
rnacentral:lncRNA from 1 species